GGGCACCUACGGGGGCCUAUAACCUUGGCACCUUAGUAGUUGGCUUUGAGAUCAAAACCAGCGAGCAGGGGCCUUCAUCUACGCAGAGAGCACGCUCUUUGCAUGCACACGGAAGACAGAAA
rnacentral:ncRNA from 1 species